GAAUUGAAAGCUAACAUUAUAAGCAACGAUCUUGUAAGUCGAAGAUAGGGUAACCCUCAAUUCU
rnacentral:tRNA from 1 species